GACGAACGCUGGCGGCGUGCUUAACACAUGCAAGUCGAACGGAAAGGCCUGCUUUUCCUUGUGGUUUGCGGGUACUCGAGUGGCUAACGGGUGAGUAACACGCGAGUCAUCUGCCCCCAACUUGGGUAUAAGCCUGGGAAACUGUGUCUAAUUCUCUAUAGGACUGCAGGGUGGUGUCUGUGGUGGCAAACGAUUUUCUAGUGGUUGGGGAUGAGCUCGCGGCUUAUCAGCUUGUUGGUGUGGUAAUGUCCUACCAAGGCGGCGACGGGUAGCCGGCCUGGGAGGGUCGACGGCGACAUUGGGACUGGGAUAAGACCCAGACGGGUACGGGAGGCAGCAGUGGGGAAUAGUGGACCAUGGGCCGAAGCCUGAUGCAGCGACGCCGCGUGGGAGAUGACGGGCUUCGGGUUGUAAGCUACUUUCGAAGGAGAGGAAGCCACGUGGUUGGAAGGGUGGUGACGGUAGUGGUAGAAGAAGCCCCGGCUAACUACGUG
rnacentral:rRNA from 1 species